UUCCGGUUGAUCCCGCCGGAGGCCAUUGCUAUCGGAGUCCGAUUUAGCCAUGCUAGUCGAGCGAGGUUAGCCCUCGCGGCGAACAGCUCAGUAACACGUGGCCAAGCUACCCUGCAGAGGGGGACAGCGUCGGGAAACUGACGGGAAUCCCCCAUACCGGUCUCACGCUGGAAUGCCGAGACCGACAAACGCUCCGGCGCUGCAGGAUGCGGCUGCGGCCGAUUAGGUAGUCGGUGGGGUAACGGCCCACCGAGCCGAUAAUUGGUACGGGGUGUGAGAGCACGAGCCCGGAGACGGAAUCUGAGACAAGAUUCCGGGCCCUACGGGGCGCAGCAGGCGCGAAACCUUUACACUGCACGAACGUGCGAUAAGGGGACUCCGAGUGCGAGGGCAUACAGUCCUCGCUAUUGUGUACCGUAGGGUGGUACACGACCAAGAGCUGGGCAAGACCGGUGCCAGCCGCCGCGGUAAUACCGGCAGCUCGAGUGAUGGCCGAUUUUAUUGGGCCUAAAGCGUCCGUAGCUGGCCCUGCAAGUCCGUCGGGAAAUCCCACUCGCCUAACGAGUGGGCGUCCGGUGGAAACUACAGGGCUUGGGACCGGAA
rnacentral:rRNA from 1 species